GAUGAACGCUGGCGGCGUGCCUAAUACAUGCAAGUCGAGCGAACGGACGAGAAGCUUGCUUCUCUGAUGUUAGCGGCGGACGGGUGAGUAACACGUGGAUAACCUACCUAUAAGACUGGGAUAACUUCGGGAAACCGUAGCUAAUACCGGAUAAUAUUUUGAACCGCAUGGUUCAAAAGUGAAAGACGGUCUUGCUGUCACUUAUAGAUGGAUCCGCGCUGCAUUAGCUAGUUGGUAAGGUAACGGCUUACCAAGGCAACGAUGCAUAGCCGACCUGAGAGGGUGAUCGGCCAAACUGGAACUGAGACACGGUCCAGACUCCUAAGGGAGGCAGCAGUAGGGAAUCUUCCGCAAUGGGCGAAAGCCUGACGGAGCAACGCCGCGUGAGUGAUGAAGGUCUUCGGAUCGUAAAACUCUGUUAUUAGGGAAGAACAUAUGUGUAAGUAACUGUGCACAUCUUGACGGUACCUAAUCAGAAAGCCACGGCUAACUACGUG
rnacentral:rRNA from 1 species